AAGAUGCAGUUAAUUGCGGAAGUUUUCCUCGGUAGUUAACUGCAGUCAGUUCCAAUAAAAUUCGACAGUUAGCUGCCGAGGGACAUUUGAAUAAUUUAUAUGUAUUUUG
rnacentral:pre_miRNA from 1 species